UACAGAGGUCUCGAGCGUUGUUCGGAUUCAUUGGGCGUAAAGGGUGCGUAGGCGGCGGGGUAAGUCUGAUGUGAAAUCCCGGGGCUCAACUCCGGAACUGCAUUGGAUACUGCUCUGCUUGAGUACUGGAGAGGAGACUGGAAUUUACGGUGUAGCAGUGAAAUGCGUAGAGAUCGUAAGGAACACCGGUGGCGAAGGCGCCUAUCUGGCCCAAUACUGACGCUGAGGCGCGAAAGCUAGGGGAGCAAACGGG
rnacentral:rRNA from 1 species